rnacentral:rRNA from 1 species
CACGUAGGGCGCGAGCGUUGUCCGGAAUUAUUGGGCGUAAAGAGCUCGUAGGCGGCCUGUUGCGUCCGCUGUGAAAGCCCGGGGCUUAACCCCGGGUCGGCAGUGGAUACGGGCAGGCUAGAGGUAGGUAGGGGAGAAUGGAAUUCCCGGUGUAGCGGUGAAAUGCGCAGAUAUCGGGAAGAACACCUAUGGCGAAGGCAGCUCUCUGGGACGGUACUGACGCUGAGACGCGAAAGCGUGGGGAGCGAACAGG